rnacentral:tRNA from 1 species
GCAAUGGUGGUUCAGUGGUAGAAUUCUCGCCUUCCGUGUGGGAGACCCAGGUUUGAUUCCUGGCCAGUGCA